CACGGAGUUAGCCGAUGCUUUUUCUUCAGGUACUCUCACAGCAGGUCCCGACCCGCCUCUUGCUCCCUGACAAAAGAGGUUUACAACCCGUAGGGCCGUCUUCCCUCACGCGACUUGGCUGGUUCAGCCUCUCGGCCAUUGACCAAUAUUCCUCACUGCUGCCUCCCGUAGGAGUCUGGUCCGUGUCUCAGUACCAGUGUGGGGGGACCUUCCUCUCAGAACCCCUACGCAUCGUCGCCUCGGUGGGCCGUUACCCCGCCGACUAGCUAAUGCGCCGCAUGGCCAUCCGCAGCCGAUGAAUCUUUAACCGCCGAGGGAUGCCCUCCGCGGUGUUACGCGGUAUUAGACGGAAUUUCUUCCGCUUAUCCCCCUGCCUGCGGCAGGUUCCAUACGUGUUACUCACCGUGCGCCGGUCGCGGCAGGAGCAUUGCUGCUCCCCCGCUCGCCCCUCGACUUGCAUGUGUUAAGCCCGUCGCUUAGCGUUCAUCCUGAGCCAGGAUCGAAAACUCUCUAG
rnacentral:rRNA from 1 species